rnacentral:rRNA from 1 species
UACGGAGGGGGCUAGCGUUGUUCGGAAUUACUGGGCGUAAAGCGCGCGUAGGCGGCUUUGUAAGUUAGAGGGUGAAAAGCCCGGAGCUCAACUCCGGAAUUGCCUUUAAGACUGCAUCGCUAGAAUCGAUGGAGAGGUUAGUGGAAUUCCGAGUGUAGAGGUGAAAUUCGUAGAUAUUCGGAAGAACACCAGUGGCGAAGGGCGACUAACUGGACAUGUAUUGACGCUGAGG